CUCCGGACAGACUCCGCCUUCAAACUGGCAAAUCCGUGUAACUGUCACCUCUGUUUUACUGUCGUGAUGGAGACAUUGACCCGGAUCAGACACCAGGGGGCGGGAAGCACAGUCACAACUGAUACGGCCAGCCGUCGUGAAACGCAAGCGCGAAUUUUUAGUUCUACGAUUUCGUCGACUGCCUUACUGCAGCCAGAGCUGAGUUAGACAUUAACGGAGGCGGUUGGUGAACACGAGAGCUAGUGAAAAGAAGAGUUCGUUUGAUUUGUUUCAGCCCCAGGACUGAGGCGUUCAGGUGGCGUGACUGGCGUGCCCUGUCUGCAAUCCUCCCUUUCAGUAAGUCUCUUCAGCCCCAGGACCGAGGCGUUGAGGUGGCGUGAAUUCGGCGUGCCCUGUCUGCAAUCCUGCCUUUCAGUAAGGUAAGUCCCCAGGACCGAGGCGUUGAGGUGGCGUGACUGGCGUGAAUUCGGCAUGCCCUGUCUGCAAUCCUGCCUUUCAGUAAGGGGCAGUAAGGACAAGAUCCACCCACCACCCAGUGCAUGCUACAUAUGUGUGUGUAAUAAAUUGAGAGGGAAAGUGUGUGUGAUAAAUGAAAUUUAAUAAAGUAAGUAAAAUUUUGAA